UACAAGGAGUAUGCCUAUAUAAGGCAAAGUCAAGUGGACUUGACUAUGAUUGGUCUGACCUCUAGCACCUAUAAAACAAUGUUGUGGUUUGUCUGUACAGCAGCAAAGAGCACUCAAACAGGCAACUGCUACACAAGCAGGAAACAACCCAAUCACCACCACACAUUUGAAACGAUGCUGGGAGUUGUGGGACAUUUGUUGUACUAUCCAAACCAGACCUCCAACUGCAGGUCAUCAUGGGAGAACUGUCUUCUGUCUAUUUACAGUGUUCUGAAUGUUAUUCUGAUCGUUAUGAUCCUGGUACAUAUCGUGGCCUUGGCAUGUCAGAACAGAAACUGUCUCUUAAAACUAAGAUCACCUCAACAUGCAGAUCAGAGAAAUCAGUGACACAGAUCACAGCACCACCAAGAAGAUUCCAUCCCAAACUUGUAUCAAUAAUUACAAUUGCAGUAUAGUGCAUAGUUCCACAAGCGCAAACUAACAACUUCUGCAAUAGAUAUAUUCUUAGAAUCACUUCCUGUAGAAUGAUACAAUUCAUGUGACGAUGUUACAGUAAACAAUGACUAAAAUACUCUUGUGAAUAUGCCUGUAUCCUAUCACCCCUUUCUACCGCUAGUCAGUAAUGAAUAAAUACGUGUUUCUUUA